UUAAGUUCAGCGGGUAUCCCCGCCUGAUCCGAGGCCAAACUUUGGUUUGUGUGUUUUCGACGCAGGUGUUACCCCAGCAUCUAGACGGCCGUCCACCGAGUAAGCCCACAGAGCGAUUGACUUGCGUCUUGCUACGCUCGUGGUCCGGCGGCGGCGCCCACGCGUUCCAGACCUGUCCUUUCACAGACAGCGUCCAACAU
rnacentral:misc_RNA from 1 species